rfam:Oryza sativa (indica cultivar-group) chromosome 9, whole genome shotgun sequence.
AAAAAAUGCAAACCGUGGAUUCCCGUGCCAACGUUUGACUGUACGUCUUAUAUGAAAUUUUUAUAUAAUUAGUAUUUUUAUUAGUGUUAGAUGAUAAAAUAUGAUUAAUACUUUAUGCAUGAUUUAUCUUUUAAAUUUUUUCUAUUAUUUUUUCAAAUAAGACGGAUGGUCAAAUGUUAGGCACGGAAACCAGGGGUUUGUCUUUUU